rnacentral:rRNA from 1 species
AACGAACGCUGGCGGCAUGCCUAACACAUGCAAGUCGAACGAGACCUUCGGGUCUAGUGGCGCACGGGUGCGUAACGCGUGGGAAUCUGCCCUUGGGUUCGGGAUAACAGUUGGAAACGUCUGCUAAUACCGGAUGACGUCUUCGGACCAAAGAUUUAUCGCCCAGGGAUGAGCCCGCGUCGGAUUAGCUAGUUGGUAGGGUAAAAGCCUACCAAGGCGACGAUCCGUAGCUGGUCUGAGAGGAUGAUCAGCCACACUGGGACUGAGACACGGCCCAGACUCCUACGGGAGGCAGCAGUGGGGAAUAUUGGACAAUGGGCGAAAGCCUGAUCCAGCAAUGCCGCGUGAGUGAUGAAGGCCUUAGGGUUGUAAAGCUCUUUUACCCGGGAUGAUAAUGACAGUACCGGGAGAAUAAGCCCCGGCUAACUCCGUGCCAGCAGCCGCCGCCG